rnacentral:ncRNA from 2 species
UAAGACCUCAAAUCAGGUGGGACU